UCUCUUGGAUUCAGUGGUUGAAUUGCUCCCAGAUGAAAAGCAUUUGCAUCAGGGUAAGUCCCAAGCCUUGGUCAGAGCUCAGAAUUCCCACCUAAGGUAGUGUGGUCGGGCAAGUCAGCCUGGCAGGGAUGCUCAGGAGCCCAGCCUAGCGGUAUGGGCAGGCAGCAGGGGAGACAGGACAUUUGCUCUGCCAGGCAAGCGAUCAGCACAUGCCUUCAGCAGUGACUGCUUACCUGCUCUCCAGUUCACUGGACCUUGAAUAGCUGGACAUUUGGGGAAUUUGAUCUUUCUCACAAGGUGAUCGUAGAUGUCUAUAGAGAAAGAGAUGCAGUGCUAACAAAGUCCUUUCCUUGAUCUCUCAAAGAUCAACUGAGUAAUUCCAUCCACCCAUCAGCUGAAAAGGGAAUUCAUCUUUGGGCAGAAAACUCAACUAGAAGACCUUGGAGUCCUUUCUGGCUUUAAGAUCUCAUGAUUUGGAUUUAUAUGCUAUUUUUUCACCAAUAGUUUUUUUUUUCUUUCUAAUUUUCAAGAAGAAAGGAUCAUUUACAAAUAAAAUGGGAAUAGAGAAGAAUGUAGAAGUAAACCCUAUGGAAGCAAACCAAAAGAGAAGUUUGAAGGAUUUGAACCACAUAGAAGAACAAACAGGAAAUAAAGAAGAUAAUUGCAUUGUCCAAGGAGAAUAAUGUAGGAGACCUUGAAAUUAAGGACAAGAGUUUUAUGUUUUUCUCUAUGCAAAUAAAAACAGGACAUGUAUUUAAAUAAGGAAAUAAAUGAAUUCAACAUUCACCAAAGGAGAAAAUUAGAGGCAUUCAUGUCAUUAGUAAAUCUUGAUAUUAAGAAAUGCAAAAUUUCAUUUUAGGAGUUGUUCACAAGUAAUAAGACUAUAAAUCAACCAGGGAUCUGGUAAACUGAUUUGGGAUAUUAUUAAUUAUUUAGUCCAACAUUUAGAAAGAGCCAUUAUGAUUUUACAUCUUUGAACUAAAUGAUAACAAAUUCAAUUGGAAAUAAGAUAUGUUCAGGCUGCUUCAUUUUAGUACUUUCUUUAGUGAAUGAUGGAGUCUCACCUUAGUUGUCAAUUCCAGAUGUUUUUGUUGGCACUCUAAACUAAAAAAGAUAU